UGAUCAGUGCCUGUGAUGCAAACCUCCCCCCCCCCUUGUGUAUGUUCUCACGAAACUACAGAACCAAAGAUUAGAACCAUUCUCUGACUCUGUUUUGUUAGGAAACAGCACUCUUUUGGAGUUUGUUUCAUGGUUAAAAUUUGAUUCGUCUCCUGUUAAAUCAUGCAUGCGAUUUACUUGGGGCUAUUCCUGAAAUUUUUUCAAUUAGAAAAAUGUAAAUUACAAAAUACAUUAUUCAUCAUGUGCACACAGCUGACUGCGUUUUAGAGUAUCACCUGAAGAAACAACAGAAGGAACAACACAAAUAGAAAUUCGUUGAUAUCACGCUCGUGGAAUAGACCCUAUUCCACUUGGGUCUAUUUGUAGAACUUUCCCACUCCUGAACAAUUUUCUCUGGUGAUUCUUGUCCGCCAAGGGGCCUCUUCUGUUUGUCAAUGGUUGGGUCCAUCGUGUGCACCAUUUGUGGCCCUACGGUGGGGACUCACGGCCCGUACUUGCGUUGCUCUGGUGUGUCAGCUAGAUCCAGCCUCUCUGUGUGGCUCAUGUGGCUACUGUCCAGUGAGAAUGUAUCUCCACUUCGUUUUUACUGCGCACCCAUGCUAUAUGUCCAUCGUAUCCUUCAGGACCAAGUUGAAUGUACUGCUCUAGGAUAGAUCUUACACUGUUGUCCCUCUCUCUUUAGAAGAGCUUCUUUGUUUGCGUGAACAUGUGAUCCGAGCGUAUCCGUUGGCGCUUCUCAAAGACGUAGCUUUGUGCGUCUUCUCAAGUCGCUACGGGUGUAUGUUUGUCUCCCCAAAGGUAAAACCGGGGUGAGUGCCAAGUUACUUUGCAGGAUGACUGCAGUGACCUUCGGUGCCGCCAGGAGAAAGCAAUCUGGUAUGUUGUUGUAAAAGUAGGACACACAGCAGCAACCUCAGCCAACUUCAUCAGUCUGCCCCAUUCCCGUGUGGACCUCUCACCUGACCGGGACUGGGGGUGGGAACUGGAAUAGGUCGGCCCUGGCCGCUGUGCCCCUGGGCCGGGGCCGUGGGGGCUGUGAGAGGACAGAGCAUCUCCUGCCCAAGGCUGCAGUGGGAGAGCUGGAGGGUAAAUGCUGAAAAUAAUAUUCUGGGCUGAGGGCCAAGGUCAUGGCCAACGAGUGUGUCCAAACCAUGUCAUAAAUUAAAGUAACUAUUGGAAAACUGGGAGCUGAGUUAUGGAGCCAAAAUGAGCGGUGCUGGGCCACAGAACGAGCCAAGAAUGAAGAGAGGGACGAAGUGCAGCAGACCACACUGUCAAAGGUCAGCUAGGCGCUGUGCUGGCAGGCUGGCCAGGCCCAGGAGGGAGCCAGGCCCCCGGAGACGCGGCAGGCAGAAGCGUGCUGGCUCAUCUACGGGAUCCUUCCAUCUGUUCCCAGGGAUCCUCCAAGUUAACUCUAACUUAAAAGCUCUUCACAGAUGGGCAAGAAAUUCGAUUCUUCUGUUAUUCUAAUCCCCAAACAAGCCAUGAUACACACAGAGACAAUUUCGGGUUGAGUCAUGUUACCUUUCUCCAAAUUGCAGGCAAUCCCCACUUCUCUGGAGCCCUACAGCACAGACAGAGCACCCCGCCUGGAGUGCAGAGGAAAACCCUAGCAGCUGAAGAUGCUAAGGCAGAGAGGAAAGCCACACCGUGCGGACAAAUGAGUCUGUGAUUGCUUGCUCGCUCCAUGGGUGUGGAGGGGACAGGACAGUAUGCGAUUCUGUGACACCUACCAUACUUAUCUAAGCAUCCAUACACUUCCUGUCCUCCCUCCUCUUCCUGUUGGGACAUUUUUGUUCCUGCCCAAUGCUGUAAGAUUCCAAAGGAAAUACAAGCGCUUUAUGAUGAUCUAAAUCAGCAUCCAAUUGCAAGGCCAGGCUUUCUUUGGCAAAUUCAAUCAUAUCCUAGAGACCAAAAAAGAAGACUUUUCAAACCCCGAGCGUAAUCUGAUCACUUCUACAAUGCCAUUGAUCUAUAACAGCUUACUUGUCUCAUCCAAUGGCAAAACUAUAUUGGUGCCUAUUACUCACACAUGAAUUGUUUAAUUCUUUUUUCUUUUUUCUUUUUUCUUUGAGAGAGAGAGAGAGAGAGGGCAGGGGAGAGGGACAGAGGUGGAGAGGGAGAGAGGAUCUCAAGCAGGCUCCACAAUCAGCACAGAACCCAACAUGGGGCUCGAUCCCACAAUACUAAGAUCAUGACCUGAGCCAAAAUCAAGAUUCAGACGCUCAACUUACUGAGCCACCUGGGUGCCACUUGAUUGUUUAAUUCUUUAAAAAAAAUUUUUUUUAACAGGCAUGCCUGAUUGACUCCAUUGAAACAGCAUGCAAUUCUUGAUCUCGGGGUAGUGAGUUCAAGCCCCAAGUCAGGAAGCCCGCGGUGUUAGCUCACGUCCAGUCUAUCUGAGCUGUAAAAAUAAGACAGGAGCCAUAGGAGUGCAGGCCAGUGACACUAUCGCUGUACCUAAGGACAAUUGCCAUUUUGGAUUCUUUAACCUUACGAAGGGGCUUUAUGACAUCUGGGAGCAGCCACUUAUUUCGGGAUGAAGUUUCUUACAAAAUCACUGCUCAGAAAGGUACAGGGCGUCUUCCUCAUCCAGCUCGAGUCAGAUCUCCCAAACACUCACGAAGGCCCUUCAGAGCCAUGAGGCUGAGAUCACAGACAGCGUUUGCCUGAUCUAAAAUAUGCACGGUAACACGGUCUUAAUUAGAUGUACAUGUCUCUGAAGAUAUAAAUAAAUGCUUCCCUUUUUGAUAUGUCUGAUUUAAUAGCCUAAUAACAGGGGACUGCUGCCGAAAUAUAAUUCAGGGGGUGAGGGAGAAAUUAAUAAACUCAAAUAUUUAAAGCUCAACAGCAAUUAGCAACCCAUUUAAAACAAAUUUCCGAAUUUUAAUUUUAUUUAUCCUUAUCCAACCAGGACUAAGCCUGGGGUUCAUUAUUAUUCAUUUGCAGACCUAACAGGGUGCUCUGCCCUUUGCUGGGGAGGCACUCUCGAAGUCCUUUACACGGGGGCAGCGGGCCAUGACCCCGGCGACGGCAGGCGGUGGGAAUUCACCAGUCCCACCCGCACCGUGUUUCCCAUUACCCCGUUUACUAGUUUUCCUUCUCUCACUUCUUUGGAAAUUGGACACUCAUUUUUCUGCUGCAUGUUUAGCUACCCACAUACACCCAUGCACAAAAACAGAACACCGUUUUCUCAAGGGUCCCCAUCAGGGAACAUCCACCUCCGUGACCUCUGGUCAACUAAGGCAAGACCUGAGUUCUGACCUCCUUCGUGCGUAUAUGGAGCGGGUACGAAAGCGAGUCUUUAGCAUGUGUACUUAGUAAUCAUCCCGAAGUGAGGUCCCCACCCCCUGGGAUGCGGGAGGGUGUGGUGGGUUCAGCACUUUGGCAUUUUCCCCAUUAGCACCCGUGUCUGGUGGGACAAAGAUGGAGAAGAACCGGACACGUUCCGGAGGGACGAACCAGAGGGCACGUCACCACCAUGCAGUGGAGACUCUUCCUUAAAGAUGCUCAGCUCAGCGUGGGGGUGUUGGAAGCACACAGGGCUGGAGGGAGUCAUGUUUUUAACAGCAAUGUAUUGUAUACGUGUCCCCUGGGGACAACUGGAAAGAAGGGCUGGGAAAGGCCACACUGGGAGAGCAAAUGGAGGGCGCAUACUCAAGCUCAGCCUUGGGCGUGUGCACAAGUUCAAGGCAAGAGGGCCUUGGUGUGGCCUUUCUUUCAAGGGCUGCUCCUCCUGCCUGAGCCAGGGCCCUCACCACUUAGCAAUGACCAACAAACCCUAGGCCUCUUCUCUGAGAACCCCUCCACGCUGCCCCAGUGGGGCCCAUUAGCCACGCUUGGACAGCCUGGUUCUACCCAUUUGGCCUUAGCCAGGGGUGUCUCCCAAUUACCUAUCUCUCCCAAGAAUUUACAAUUGGAACUAGAGGUGCCCACUCUCUGCAGCAACCUUGACCGAGGUGAGGCAAAUCAGGAAGCUGGAACUGAUGUUAGGCAGGUGGGUGGCCUUCCUGAGCUAUUUCAGAGGCAGGGAGAGCCGGGUUACAGAGCGAGAAAUGAAAAGAACAGAAGAAACCUUUGAUAAGCUGUCAAGUGACUGCCUGGAUUCUGAAGGCUUAUCACUAUCUGCUCUUGGUCCUCCAUAGGACCUGACUGUGCUUCUGGCCCUUGGGGUCCAUUCAUCUAGAGAAUAAAUUCCUCUUGCAUUUUGCUGAAACUCAGGUAGGUCAUGAUCUUUGUGCCAGUAAAACACUGAAAUAGUCUUAGUGACCAAGGAGACCCGUGGUCAUCAUUAGCAACUCCAGAGUGUGGGCAAAGGCAGGGGACCCGGACACGGUUGACCCACAACACACAGGAGACUUCUCUGCCCACAGGCUGUAGGGAAGGUAGGGGACAGGGCCAUCGUGAGUUGGAUGAGACAGGGGAACAGCCAACGUGCCAGAAGCCCCUCCUGGGAUCAGAGGGCAGUCAGCAAGCAGGAGUCCUGACAUCACAGGCUUUCCAUCCAAGGUGGUGGACUCCAGGGCUGCCGUCACAAACGGCCACAACCUAGUGGUUUAAAACAAUAGAAAUCUAGCUUCUCACGGUUCUGGAGGGCAAAAGUCCAAAUUCAUGGUGUGAGCAGGGCUGUGCCCCCUCAGCCUCUAACCGAGAUUCUCUUCUCUGCCUCUUCCAGCUCUGGGGGCUGCAGGUGCUCCUUGGCUUGUGGCUGUACCACUCCGACUCCUGCCCCUGUCCUCACAUGGCCUUCUUCUCUUCCCUCCAUCCUUCCUGUGAGUAUGUCUUGGAAGGAUACCUGUCACUGGAUUUAAGAACCACCCCGGUAAGCCAGGAUGAUCGCACCUCAAGAUCCUUCAUUUAAUUACAUCUGCAAAGACCCUUUUUCCAAAUAAGGUCACAUUCACAGCUUCCUGAGGUUGGGAUGUGGACAUAUCUUUUGAGGGACUGCUAGUCAGCAAGCUGCCGAUGAGAAAUCAGCCAUGCUGACUCUGGCCAGUUUGGGCGGGGGCGGGGGGGGGGGGCGGCGCAUGGCGAUCUCAGGGAGCAAGGCCCAGGCAGUUCCAGGCAGGAGACUAGUGAUUUGCCCGUUGACAGGGCCCAAAGGUAAAUUAGUAGCUUAUAAUAAGCAGAUGGAGUGGGGAAUCCAAGAAGGGUAUGUUCAAUUUUUCCUAUUAGUUCAGCUUCUGUUUAUUCAAACAACCUUAAGUGAUAAAGAAGAUAUUUGACAGUUACUGGGGUGGCUCAGAGAAUUAACACAAGGGCCAACGAUCCACUUCUGGAACCGACACAGAAUCCGGAGCAGAUGUUGUCGUUGAAUGCUGCCAUUUUCUUGAACUCCAUGGUGGACAUAUGCUGCUCUGAUAAUGCCUGAGCUCUCUCCCAGAGGAGAAUUGGGCUCCAAUCAAGUGUGAGAGUUAUCAGCCAUGGUACAGGCAUGACAGCUGUGAGCUGGAGAAGUCACCCCAGCGGGGGUCUGUGACAGGCGGGCUGGGGUGGCUUCGGUGCUGC